rnacentral:rRNA from 1 species
GUCUAUGGCCAUACUGCCUUGAACGCGCAGAUCUGGUCUGAUCCCGGAAGCUAAGCAGGGUCGGGCCUGGUUAGUACUUGGAUGGGAGAAAAAGCUGGAAGCUCAGAGG